GGGGAGGGGAAAACCCUGGGGUAGACGUCCAUAUCUAUAUGUACACCUUUGAUGACUUUCUUAGGAGAAAUUCCUAGAUAUGGAAUUGUGGGUCAAAGGCUUCUGCACAUUUUAAAAUCUUUGAGUAUACAAUAUUGCUAAAAUGAUCUCCCAGAAAUCUUUCACCAUUUUACCCUCACAGAGGUCAAAUGGAAUUUCUUUUGUUGCUCCAUGUUUUGCUAGCAAUUGGUAGCAAAGUUAGAACAAGGAGCAUGGAUGAUUUUUUUCCUACUGGUUCAAAAAACUAUACCUUUUUAUUUAAAACUUAAAAAUGUAUAAAUUUCACUUAAAACUGCAGAUACAGUGGUCCACACUCUGGACCGCAGCUUUAACCAAAAUGAAAACUUCCAGAAACUCCAUUGCAGCCCUUACUAUUGAAGGAGCAUGCUCUCCUGGCACAGGGGUUUCUACGUCAAGUGUGUCUCUGUUGCAGGGGGGAAACACUGCCUUGCACCUCGCUGCGAAGCAUGGUCACAGUCCUGCAGUGCAGGUGCUGCUAGCCCAGUGGCAAGACAUAAAUGAGAUGAAUGAGCUCAAUAUCAGUAGUUUGCAGAUAGCAACCAGGAACGGCCAUGCAUCCCUUGUCAACUUUCUUCUCAGUGAGAACGUUGAUCUGCACCAGAAAGUGGAACCUAAGGAGUCCCCUCUUCAUUUAGCUGUUAUCAACAACCACAUCACGGUUGUAAACAGUUUAUUAAGUGCACAGCAUGAUAUUGACAUCUUAAAUCAGAAGCAGCAAACCCCUCUGCAUG
rnacentral:sRNA from 1 species